rnacentral:lncRNA from 1 species
CUGCCUCACAGCCAUUGUCAGCACAGCUGGCGGCACACUCAGGGACAUCUCCUCUCUGGUUCUCCCUUAUCUCUUCUACAUGGUGCUAGGGUACAGCCUGACUCAGGAGGAGUCCUAGCUUUUAGGUCACAAGUUCCUCCUCAGUAGGGAGUUUCUGUAGAAGUGUUGGCAGCCGGAGGCUGUCUGCUUAUGACACCUGAAGCAUCCAGGGGAGAAGUCCUUCUAUUUCAGAGGGUGAUCCGUAGUGCCCGACUUGUGUGCAGAGAGUGUGCAGGUAUAGGGCUGUGAUGGACUUGACUGCAGACACUGUGCUAUUAUAGGGCUAUGAUGCUUCUUGAAUCACACAAGGCUAUGAAAGCCCUAGAAUACACAAGUGAUAUGGACAUGAACUUGGCUUUCAGUUUCAUUCCUCUCUUUCAGGAAAGUAAGCCAUGUGAAAGGACUGUUUAUUCAAGCACUCCACAGGAGACCUUCUAAGCUUUUCCUGUCAGCCCCCACCUCUCUUCUACUUCCCCUUGCCUGUUGACCCUUCCUUUUCUGACUGUCAGGGGUUAUCAAAAGCAGGGAGACAAGAACCAGUCCACACACAGCUGGCUGCUGCCAGAGGCUCUAUGGGUGGGAACCAUAGAUGCCUUACUGCCUCCUUUGACUUCCUUGGCCCUUUACCCCUGAUUCCUGAGAUAUAAUCAGUUUCUCACAUGGAUACCUAUAGCAUCUUCUCAGGACCUCCUCCCAGUAAGUGACUACAAAACCAUAAAAAGACUGGUGGCUCAGGAUGGUGGUGCCUUUGCCACAUAUUUCCCAGGCCACUGUGAGCAAUCACAAAGGAGAAAUACACAUCCAAACAGUGCACCUGAGCGACAAUGAGCAUCUGACCCAACAGGCCAUAGACUCCACAUCACAGCACCAACUGCUCGCUCUAUGGCUGAACUCACAACCCAGACAACCUCCAACUCUCCAACAGUGAAAGAUGGGGAUCAAACCCAAGGAGGGAUCAGCUUCCCUGCCCUUAUGCCUGAGCCACUGGGGAUGUGCCUUUGUGACAAUCAGAUAUGGAAAUGCUCCACCCUCUUCCCAGCCUCCAUCACACACGCCCUGCCUGUGUCCUCUUGCUGGUGACUCAUUCCUCCUGGCUCAGGAAGAAGAGCCUUCCUCUCGUAUAAUCUCAGUUUAAAGAGAAGAUUCCUUUGCUUCCUUCACUUACGAUUCCACAGUCCUCUCCAGAGAGGAGCAGACAAUCAUCCAAAGGCAUGUUCAUCCAAAGGCAUGCCCACCACUCCCAGCUGGAGCCAGACCCCACCACUGGGAGUCAUGCUGCCAUACUCCAGGAUGAAUUCUGAGUGAGGUGAGACCAGAGAAUGAAGGCAACCAUCAAGAAAGAAGACGUUUUCCACUCAGUCAGAAGUGAAAAAUUAUCCAGAGGGCCAGGUUUUGUCUGCAGUCAGAGACAACAGGGCUGGACUUCACCGGGUACAGCCGGCAGGGCAUGUCACCCAGGCUCUUCUGCCUGCAGUAGGACACCUUUGAACUGGUGCUGCUGUGAGUAAAGCCUGCUGGCGCUGUCGUUGAAACUCACGUGUGCAAGAUUGCUCUAUCUUGAAAAGCAGAGCCUGGCUGAGGAGGUCAGGAGUGCUGUGCCCAAGGUACUGAGCCUUCCCCCAGCUGCUCCUGCUGAGGGCAGUCUCCAAAGGGCAUUGCUGAGCUUGGAGAUUUCAGGGCUAUAAACAGAAGCCACGGAUUACCUGAAAGCUGGUUGUGGAUGAAUACAUUCUUUGAACAGCCAUUGCACAAUUUCCCUACCUACAAAAGCCUGACUUAAGGAACAGUUGUCCUGGCCACACUCAGUGAACCUGAAUAUGAUGUAUUCAUCUUAGCCAUAGAAUCAAAUUUUCAAUGCUUUAUAUGGGAAGGUGUUUUAAUAUUUCCUGAUUUCUUUCUAGUUUGUGAAGGCUUUGAAAAAAAUCAAGAAGCCUUUUCCUGUUUUUUGUUAAACUCACUGAUUUACAAGAGAAAGUUUACUUUGUUUUUUAUUUAAUUAGUUUGAAUUGUUUUUAUUUUAUUAUUUCAUGUGUAUGGGUGGUCUGCCUGCCUACCCACAUGUCUGUAUGCUAUGUAUAUACCUGGUGUCUAGUGCCUGGCUUGGGAGAUGGUACAGAAGAAGAUGGUGGGUACCCUGGAAAUGGAGUUACUGUUAGUUGUCAAUUGCCACGUGAGUGCUGGAAACCCAGCUGAGGUCCUGUGAAAAAGCAGCCAGUGCUUUUAACUGCUAAGCCAUCUCUCUAGCCCCAUACUUUGGCCUUUUAGAUGAAAUGUCUAGCAAUAGUUUUAGACUGGCUUCAGUUCAUUGUACGAUCCCUAAGGUUCCAAUGGUUAAUUUUUUAGUGUAAAUAAUGUCAGCUUGAUGCCUGUGGUAGUUUUAAUGCAAUUGGCCCCUAUAAUCUCAUUAUAGGGAGUGGCACUAUUAGGAGGUGUGGCUUUGUUGGAGUAGGUGCAGCCUUGUUGGAGGAAGUGUUUUCCUUUAUAAGAGUUGCCAUGGUCCUGGUGUCCCUUCACGGCAAUAGAAACCCUAACUAAGACACUGCCUUGGAUGCCUAUGGCCAAAAUUGAAAGGAAUAGGACAGAAAGAGAACCCUGAGUGGCAGUAGGGGUAGCACAGGGGUUGGAACCUGGGGAAUGAGUACAGAAUGAGUACAAAGCAGCAUAGGUCAUAGAGAUGCUAGGGAUGGGGUAAGGGGUCAGAGAAGGGAGGGUGGGCAGGCACAUAGAAAGCGAGGCUGUGGCUAGGGGACAGAGAGGGCAGAGCAAGAGGCAAGAGUGAAGGAGUCGGGGAAGCAAGGGAGCAUAGUUUAGCAGUCAGAUUCUAACGAGCCAUCUUUGGGUGCCCACUUUCGUGCACAGUCCUCUACCACACUGAGCAGGGAUGGCCUGUGUAGCCAAGGAGACAGUGCUGUUUCCUCUUUGCACUCUUGGGUCACUUGUUCCAGAACAGUGGGAUGCCUUGUGGAGAAGUUCAAGCAUCCCUCAAGAAAGGCACUUGUGCUUUCAGAGCUUUGGCCUCUUGCCCACAGCCCUGGGGGCUUGCCUUCUGGGAAGCAGCUGCACUGGCUCAACUCUCCAACAUCCAGAAUCCUACAGGCAAAUCCUACAGGAGGAGCCAGGCCAGAACUGCCACCUCUGACCCACAGAUCCUCCUUGAGAUAAUAAAUGUGUAUCUUUAUGUUAAGCCCUCAAGUUUGGGGCUAUUUGGAUCUAUAAACACAGGGGAAACAUGGCUCAAAUGAGAACAGAGAGUCCACAUCCCUGCAAUUUCAGCUCUCCAGGCCUCUCCUGGGCCCUGCCAUGUGUCUUUGAUGAGCUGUGGCUGGAAGCCCCAUGAGCAAUACACAGUAAUGUGGUUUUUAUAAGUUGGAAAUUUUUGCCAAUUUGCUGAAUCAGUCAUUACAGAAAUAGAUCCUCCAUGACCUGACUUCUGGUAGACUGAUUUUCCAUGAAUAAUGUUAAGAGGCAAUACCUCAACUGAUUUUAUACCUGGAAAUCCUAGAACUGGGGUUUUAGAGAGCAUUUGGCUAAGCUAUGUUAAGGUAAGGCUGACAUAAAUGUCAGGGUAGCAGGUGACUGAGGGUGACUUCUCAGAGCCAUAUCAGGUGUCCCACAUCUCAUUGCAUUUAUCUAGGUCAUGGUAAAACAAAAAUAAUAGAUUUACCCUUUGAGAGGCGACAAGACUUACCCUUUCUUGAUUUCUGAUAAUCGAUUAUGUUUGGGAACACAUUGGGCUCUCUGGGAUGAUGAUUAAGAAUGUAAUUUGCAGGUAUAAUAAAAAGAGGAAUUGGAUUCAUAAAUAAAGUCUCUACAGAUGCUUAAUGCUACCUUCAAGAAAUUACAGGUAGAAUUCUCCUGCAAGUCCCAGAUGAUUGACAGCAGGCAAGCCAGCGGCAGCUGCCAGCAUUGUGAAGGGAUUGAAGAAGUCUACUUCACCCGCUGGAGACAAGCAAGGGCAAGACAGGGUUUCUCACACAUCACUGUCCCCCAAGGAUCAAGCCUGGGUAACACUGAUCUGUGGAACCCUCUCUGAGGAGAGGUUAUCAGCCAUUUUUAGGAGUGGAAAGAUGUUUUUAAGAAGGGCUGAAUAGCCGGGUGUUGUUGGCACAUGCCUUUAAUCCCAGCACUCGGGAGGCAGAGGCAGGUGGAUUUCUGUGAGCUCGAGGCCAGCCUGGUCUACAGCUCGAAUUCCAGGACAACCUCCAAAGCAAUACAGAGAAACCCUGUCUCAAAAAAGAAGAAGGGUUGGAGAGAUGGCUCAGAGGUUAAGAGCACUGGCUGCUCUUCCAGAGGCCCUGAGUUUAAUUCCCGGCAACCACAUAGUGGCUCACAACCAUCCGUUAUGACAUCUGGUGCCCUCUUCUGGUGUGCAGAUAUACAUGGAAGCAGAAUGUUGUAUACAUAAUAAAUAAAUAAAAUCGUUAAAAAAAAAGGAGGAGGGAGAGAAGAAGAAGAAGAAGAAGAAGAAGAAGAAGAAGAAGAAGAAGAAGAAGAGGA